GAUGAACGCUAGCUAUAGGCUUAACACAUGCAAGUCGAGGGACCGGCGCACGGGUGAGUAACGCGUAUCCAACCUGCCCAUAACUAAGGGAUAACCCAGCGAAAGUUGGACUAAUACCUUAUGGUUAUGGAUGGGGAUGCGUCUGAUUAGCUUGUUGGCGGGGUAACGGCCCACCAAGGCAACGAUCAGUAGGGGUUCUGAGAGGAAGGUCCCCCACAUUGGAACUGAGACACGGUCCAAACUCCUACGGGAGGCAGCAGUGAGGAAUAUUGGUCAAUGGGCGUUAGCCUGAACCAGCCAAGUAGCGUGAAGGAUGAAGGCUUAUGGGUCGUAAACUUCUUUUAUAUAAGAAUAUGUAUUAUAUGAAUAAGGAUCGGCUAACUCCGUGCCAGCAGCCGCGGUAAUAC
rnacentral:rRNA from 1 species